UAGCGAUCCAGGUGUACAAUUACCGACAUGCAGCGCCGGGGUUGUAUAUCCUGGUUACGGCGGAGCUCUCUCAGGUUUUUAAAGCAACGUCCGACGUUUUAAAAUGUGCGAGAAAACCGAGGGCAGCUCCAUGCCGUCCUACACCGAGAAGAUCACGUUGGGUAUCUGCAAGAUCCUAGAGGCUUCUCCGGGAGUCACCGAAGUUACUUUUGAGGAGAAGCCCCCGGCGGAACGGCGCCUGAUUAUUAACUGGGAGCAGAAAAACGCCUGCAGUCUGCCGGAAGACUUGAAGAACUUUUACCUGAUGACGGAUGGCUUUCAGAUGUCGUGGAGCGUGAAGCUGAGCGAUACUCCGGUCCAGGUGGGCUCUAUGGUAAUUAACAGCAUCUCCAACCUCAGCCGCCUGGAAGGGGCCUCUGCCUACUCCGUGCCGACUGCCCCGACGCUCGCCGACCUGGACACCGACCCCGAAGACGAAGGUUGCCCGGAAAAGCCGCGCUUUGACUCUCGGAACGUCCUCUUCGAGCUGGAUCCGUGCGACGGGAACGGAAAAGUGUGUCUGGUCUACAAGACGUGCGAAGGAGAAGUCCUCCCCGAUCCCAACAUCUGGUUUCUGGACCGCGCUCUCUAUUGGCAUUUUAUUACCCGCACGUUCACCGCGUACUACCGGCUUCUCCUCUGCCACCUGGGACUCCCGCAGUGGCGUUACGCCUUCACCGGCUACGGCCUCAGCCCGCAAGCCAAGCAAUGGAUGAACAUGUACAGACCCAUCGCCCUCAGCACGGCUUCGCUGGCAGAAGACGUCGACUCGUUCGUCAACAAGCUGGAUCCAAACAAGAUAUUUAAGAGCAAAAACAAGACUCCGUUAACUAAGAAGAAGCUGCCCCCUCCGCCUGCCGGAGCCCAAAAGGGAUCCCUUGCUUCUGCCAGACCCCCCGGCCCUUCAGUGAUCGCCGCACGGAAGUAAAAGACGGUCCGUUUGGUCGUUUGGGGCGGCCGCUUCGUGUACCUGAAAUACCCUUUUCUGUAUAUUUGGAUGUUUCGUUUAUUUAUUUAUUUAUUUAUACAAACAUUCAGCCUUCAUACAAUUUUAUUAAUAAUUUCAUUCAAAUGUAUAUAUAUUUUGCAUAAGAUGUUGUUUUGUGCGUGGUAAUGAUAAUGGGAAUUGUACUCAUAUUAUGAGUAAAAGUAUAACACGCAAAUGAACUGUAGAGUGAUGGGAGUUAUAAAGGGCCAUUGGAACACAGGAGUGAUGGGAGUGAUAAAUGGCCACUGGGACACAGGAGUGAUGGGAG